GGUUUGGUACUGGAGAAGGAUUUGAUGGUACUGGAAGACGCUUGGGUGGUUUUACCAGGCAGCCUCCUCAAUCAUCUCUUCGACAAACCGCAAUGGCUCCAGCACAAAAACGCACUCGGGUCGGUGCUCUAUUGCCAUCUGGUCCAAGGCAGCUCGGGGGCGAUGAUGUUAUUAUGUCUGCUCUUAGUCCCAUAAAAACUGCUGCAAUGGCCGCUGAAAGAAGAAAGCAGGAUGAUUUGUGGUGCGGUUCAAUCUCGCGUGAAAUGGAAAGGAUCGAUGGUUUAGAAGAACUCGGAGAAUCUUCGAACAGUUUAAGCAGCAACCAUAGGAACAGACCGCUAUCUGUGCCUACAUAUUCUAUUUCGGCAAGAGAAAAUAAUGAUGCAAGCUGUUAUGGGAAUGCAAAGUGUGCACUCUAUUGAAUCAGCCAUUGGCACCAAUAUGUGAGGCAUGCGAAGCUAAAAAAUUUAGACCUUUGGAAUCCAAAUAUAAAACCUGCUCAUGCAAGCUCUGUACUUUGGAGAACAGCAUGAAAUUGGACAAAUGCUCUAUAUGCAAGCAAUGGCGAUACUCAAACGGAUCACCGGCGUCCACCCGCAGUCCCAAUUAUGGUACUUGACGUAAUUGUUUAGGUGCUUAUGUAAUUUUUGAACAAAUGUUAGUAUAUUUUGUUUAGGGAAAUUUACAUACAUGC